AACUGCUUGACGGGGUGCCGGUGAAUCCGGCUGAGAUGGCGCAGGGCGUAUCCACUUGAUACUGCCAAAGCGCUGGUCCCGCUGAACCUGAUCCGGCUAAUGUGCUGCUCCUAUAACGAGCGCGCGGGUACCGGCGUAGGGAUCAAGCGAUGGCCUCGG
rnacentral:ncRNA from 1 species